UUGACGUAUUUCUGUCUGUCCACCCUAAGAAUUUUUUGUCGUUUUCAGAUAAUUGAUCCUUUUAUAUAUUCCACUAACUUAUCCGAUCCGUGAAACAACUUGUUAACUAGCACCAAAUAUUCUUGAACAAGAAAAAUGUCAGCGCACCGAUCUUAAGGAAGAGAAAUACUUACACUGUGCAUGGAAAAAUCUUCAACAUGAAGAACUCACUGAACUCGAAGAAGCUGCAGCUGAGGCCCAAAAAGGUGAAACAGAUGGAACAUAAAAACUCACCCAAUAUGGAUAGCUGGAUGUAGACCUUCUUCUUAAUUUCAUCCGCCUUAUAUAUGCUAUCAGUGGUAUGGAAACGGGGUCAUCACUUAUGACGCAGCACCUUCGUGAAGGGUUAUCGAAAGCAGGAGGCCUCAGUGGGAUAAAAGGGAAACAGUUGAUCAGCAUGAUUGAUGAGUUGCAAGGCAAGACUAUUCGUGAAGAGAGGAAACUUUCAACGAAUUAAGAUGGCUAACUUGCAUGAGGACAUGGUUGAUCAGACACUCGCGGGGAAGAUGAUGAAAAAGAAGAAGGGAGAUGAUAAUUGUGAUAAGGAUAGUAAUGAUCAUGAGUGUGAGGAAGCAGAUGAAGCAUUAGAUGAACAUAGCCAACACAUGGCGGGGGUAAUGGAAGAAGCUGAUAAGUUGAAGGAAAUUGUGGGCAUACUUGAACCAGUUCAGGCGGUGGAAUACUUAGCUGCAGCUAAGAAGAUUAGGUUGUGUGUGCAACAAUGGGGAAAGAAGAGGGAUCAUGAGCAUAUAUAAUGAGUAGUAAUUUAUAACUAGUACGUACGUAUGUAAUUGUGAUGAGUUCGUCUGUUGCUUUCUAGUAGUUACAACUUUUGAUAA